AUUGAACGCUGGCGGCAGGCCUAACACAUGCAAGUCGAGCGGAUGAAGGGAGCUUGCUCCUGGAUUCAGCGGCGGACGGGUGAGUAAUGCCUAGGGAUCUGCCUGGUAGUGGGGAUAACGUCCGGAAACGGGCGCUAAUACCGCAUACGUCCUGAGGGAGAAAGUGGGGGAUCUUCGGACCUCACGCUAUCAGAUGAGCCUAGGUCGGAUUAGCUAGUUGGUGGGGUAAAGGCCUACCAAGGCGACGAUCCGUAACUGGUCUGAGAGGAUGAUCAGUCACACUGGAACUGAGACACGGUCCAGACUCCUACGGGAGGCAGCAGUGGGGAAUAUUGGACAAUGGGCGAAAGCCUGAUCCAGCCAUGCCGCGUGUGUGAAGAAGGUCUUCGGAUUGUAAAGCACUUUAAGUUGGGAGGAAGGGCAGUAAGUUAAUACCUUGCUGUUUUGACGUUACCAACAGAAUAAGCACCGGCUAACUUCGUG
rnacentral:rRNA from 1 species